UUCCAACAUCGGGGGAGUCGAAAGACUGAGAAAUCGACGCGAGUCAUGACCCUUUGAACCUGACGCGGGCAAUGCCGCCGCAGGGAAGAUGCAGGAAAUCCAAA
rnacentral:ncRNA from 1 species